CGCGGAGCCAGCUCAGCGCCAGGUCCUGAAGCACCGCGGGGUUGAGCAGAGACGCCGCCAUUGACCCUGUAUGCGCACGCGCUGUCGAGUAGUCACUGAAGGUGCACGUACUGGCUGCGUCACAGACUUCCGUCGCGCUACAAGAGGGACGUUGUUCUAAAAGUGUCGUCGAGAACAAGUUCCACGGAACGAAAGUUUCUGCCAGCAGCGCUAGCGUCACAACCAUCUACCCUCUCUGACCUUGCGAGGACUCUCUCAAGAAUCAAAAGAAGAGAGAAAAAAAAAUAAAUAAAGGUUACUGAACGUCCUGGCAA